AAAGCUUGGCGAAUAUGGGUUGUCGUAUUUUUCUGAUGCAAAUCGCAAUGACAUGUCAGUCGAUAUCCUAACUGCCUUGCCCUUUGGAACACUUUGAGAAAUUUAAUGGGUGGGUUAUUUUCCUCGUUAGAAUCAAGUCCAAUACCAAUGAUUUCGGAUUUGUAAGGCAAAGAAGCGUUUAAUGUCUCUUCUGCAUUUUCAAAGCUCAUUUCCCUGAUAAAACACAUGAUCAGCUGCGAGUAUAUAUGAAAAUCUCGCAUUGCAUCAUCGCGAGCACGAAUAAGCCCUUUAAUUACUGUUUCAAAGGAAAUCCCUCUUCUUGUAUGAAGUUGUGGAUCAAAAAACAUUUCCGCGUAUACUACAUUCUGUGAUGCUGCUUUUCUUAGAUACUGAUAACAAAGAUCAUAAAAAUCUUGCUCAUGUAGUAACAAUUCUACACCCUCGUAGUAAACUUCUAAAAAUGAUGCCAAAUCAUGAAAAUUGUAGCUCUCUUUGAUUUCCUCAAUGCUACUCUGUUUUAGUGGAAUUUUAUUUCGAUGAGAUAGCUUAAGCUUAAGUUCAGCUUCCAAGGUCCCUUCUAAAUGGAGAUGUAGUUCAGCUUUUGGUAACUUUUCAAUGAACCUUUCAAUAUCAGUCAUUAU